AGCGAACGCUGGCGGCAGGCCUAACACAUGCAAGUCGAACGAAGUCUUCGGACUUAGUGGCGGACGGGUGAGUAACACGUGGGAACGUACCUUUUGGUUCGGAACAACUCAGGGAAACUUGAGCUAAUACCGGAUGAGCCCUUAGGGGGAAAGAUUUAUCGCCGAAAGAGCGGCCCGCGUUAGAUUAGCUAGUUGGUGAGGUAGAGGCUCACCAAGGCUACGAUCUAUAGCUGGUCUGAGAGGAUGAUCAGCCACACUGGGACUGAGACACGGCCCAGACUCCUACGGGAGGCAGCAGUGGGGAAUCUUGCGCAAUGGGCGAAAGCCUGACACAGCCAUGCCGCGUGAAUGAUGAAGGUCUUAGGAUUGUAAAAUUCUUUUACCAGGGACGAUAAUGACGGUACCUGGAGAAAAAGCCCCGGCUAACUUCGUGCCAGCCGCCGCAGUAAAAC
rnacentral:rRNA from 1 species